UAACGGAGGCCUAGACUUAAUU
rnacentral:siRNA from 1 species